AACGCACCUUGCACUCUUUGGUAUUCCGAAGAGUAUGUCUGUUUGAGUGUCAUGAAACUCUCAACCCCCUUAUUUUGUAAUGAAGUAAGCGUGGGCUUGGUUCAUGGUUGUUGAAGGCUUAACAGUCUUCUCAACUGAAAUACACGAGCUACCUAUUUUAUAAUAGACGGUUUGACUCGGCGUAAUAACUAUUUCGCUGAGGACGUCCUUUUAUAACAGUAAAUGGUGCUUCUAAUUUAACAUCAAUUUAAGAUUUAGACCUCAAAUCAGUCAGGACUACCCGCUGAACUUAA
rnacentral:misc_RNA from 1 species